CCGCACAGAGCUCUGAGCUCCUCUUGGCUGUCCUGAAGGACCGUCCUGCAGAGAGGCUUCCCCGCCAGCUCCACCCAGAGGGACAGAGCAGAUGGAAAACUGGAGCAAGCCCCAUCUUGGACAUUGGGCGACUGAAACCAAGGUUUGCCUCGUUUAACCUCAGAAAAGAUCCUCGAGGCGGGUGCUACCUCCUAAUGAUCCAGCCGGAGAAACUGAAGUCCAGCUGGUUAGACUGCAUGUCUUCAGUCAAGAGCUGGCCCUGCUGCCGAGGCCACCCCACCGGGAGCAGUCUACCCUCAAGGUCAAGAUCCUGACUCGGGCCAUGGUGACUGAGGAAGCCUGGACGCUUGCUGACCACCAGGCCCUGGCACUCUUUAUGCAGGAAAGCCUGGCCCUUCUAUCCCUCAGGGCGGGCGAGAGGGGACCCUGCCUCAGGAGGGAGGCAGCAGAGCCCCACGGGUGGGCCCCAGGGCCGGGAAGGGCAGGUGGCAGCCAGGAGUCAAUUGGCGGUGCCCGGGUUGGCUGGUGAGCUUCUCUCCCUCCAUCUCACCAGGAAGGGGCCUGGGGCCACCUUCCUGCUCUGCGGCCGGCCGUGGGGAGGGUCCUGCAUGUCUGGGUCUGGUUCCUUGGAAUUCCCCGCGGGGUGGUUCAGAGCAUUCCCCUAGAAGGCCUGGCGGGAGAGGGGCUGUCACAUCAAAGCAAAGGAAAGCAAGCCGGCCGACGUUUCCGGAAGGUUCCCGGGGGUUCCUGGGCUGCCGUGAGCUCCCAGAACACAAAGCAGCUGGACCUGGAACAAGAGGGGUGCAGGGUGGACACUUGGUUCAAAGAGGAAGCAAUGGCGGGACCCCCAGGCUCUGAGGGCGGUUUGUCCCGAGGUGUGAACAGGGUGAGGCUUGCAGGAGUCCCCACACCCUGAACAGAAAGGGGGAGGCCAGGGGAAGGGGAGACUUAGGGUCAGCCCUGCAGUUCCACAUUCCUGGGCUGCGAUGGGCAUCUGGGCAGUGGGCACAGGUUUCUGUUCCCCAGAAACUGGAAGCACAUUGUGGAAGAGAGAAUCUGAAAACUGAAGUCAAAAGACAAAAAUAAACAAAUAGAUAAAUAAUAAAAAACUUAGAAAAUCAUCAAGUUCAAAUCCAGGAUGGAGUGUUGAUGGAGCGCUGAGCCCUUUGCACGCAUGGCAUCAUGGGAUGAAUGGAUGCAUUCUCCUAUUUUGUGGAGGGGGCCUGUGGGCUCAGAGAGGUUGCAUUGCUUUCCCAGGGUCACACAGCUAUUAGCAGUGGUUUUGGUUUUUUUCUUUUUUCUGUUGUGGCACAGAUGCCCAUGAGAGGUGCCCAAGAUGGAAGAUUUGCUCAUCCUUUCUCUGUGCCAGGAGCUGGGCUACAGGGUGCCAGAACAAGAGGCCAGCCCCCCUCCUCUCUAAGGCCAGUUUGGAGAGGAAUUCCUGCAGCUGGGAGUUCCAUGCUCACAGGCCCGGUUCCUGCAGGCCGUGGGGCAGUCAGGCAGGAAUGCAGGGGCAGGAGGAGAGGGGACUCAGAGGUACUCCAGGUUCAAGGCUCUCUGUGAGAAGGGGGCCAGGCCAGAGGAGGACAGACGUCCCCAAACCCAGGACCAGCCACAGGAGGGAAGUUCACGGUGGCUGAAGGUUUUCAAGGCACCCAGUGAACUUUGCUUUCGUGGGCAGGGUGGUGAAGUGGUUAGGGAUGCUGGCUUUGGAAUCAGGCAGAUCUGAACCCCAAUCCAGUCCCAGCUCGGUGUGACUUUCAGCAAAUGAUUUGCCCUCCGUUUCCCCAAGAAUAACAGUAGUGUCCUCGUGGGGAUGCUAUCUGGGAAGCAUUUUGGCCAAGAACUUGGAGCAUCCGAGGCCCUCGAGUCCAGGGGAGUUGCGAUUCUCCAGUGUGGGAUGAGACAAGUCCCUCUUGUCUAAUCUGGGUGGCUUCCCGGCCUCAGUUUCCCCCUGAUAACAGGACAGCAGCCCCGAGAGGCCAGGGCUCUGCCAGACUCCAGGCCGGGGCAGGCCAGGCCCUGUCCCCACGGGGAUCAAGUUUCCAGCCCCUUCAGUGGAGCCAGAUAAACACAGGGGAGACAGCGCGGCUCCCUGUGCCGCCCACUAACAACCAGAUUCCGAAGCCACCGCAGUUGCGGCUGCCCACUCUGAUUGCAUCUGGCUCCAGCGUCCCAGGCCCCACUGCUGUCACCCUCACGGGACCCUAGGGUUUGGUCAGGGGACGCUGCAAGCCAGGUUCGUGGCGGGGGCGGGGCAGCCCCGCAGCCCCUCCCACAGCAGAUGUCUUAUCUCUGCCCCCUGCAGCUGCCCUCCCCCGCCAUGGUGACCUCACUGGGCCACUAAAGCUUCUGACUGACAGAGUCCAGGACACCAGGUGGACCCUCCCACAGCUCCCGCAUUUUUUGCAUCUUAAUUCUCUGAGGUCAAGGCCAGUGGCCUCCACUUUAUAACCUCUAUAUUCAAUUCUCUGGCUUUUCACUUUCCAGGAGAAAUCACAUGCAUUUGCCAGGCACAGCUAUGUACUGGGCAAACAAGAGCAAGACUUUAUCAUUUCUGCUGGUGAACUCCUAUCCACCCUCCAAAACCCAGUUCAAAUACCCUUUCCCACCCCUCCCUGCUACUUGUCUCAGAUGACUCCAUCACGGGUCUCUGAGCAGAUGGAGAUGGCGGGGUGGGGGGACAGUCAUGCUCCUUCCCUCUUGAGGACCUUCACUGGGUGCUACACCCUCUGCCCCCUCCCACCCACCAUUCCUGAGCAGCCAAUGCUCAUCCUUUAGGUCUGGGCUCAGGGCACCUCCCAGGAGCACAGAGGGCCACAGGAGUUACCCUCAGGCAUUAUUGUGGUCUGUGAUGGAGAUGUUUACAGCCUGCAGAUUUGAUUCCUGUUUCCCUUCCUGGAAUGUAAAUCCCGAGGGGCGGAAUGUGUGGUUUCUAUUGUCCUCUAUUUGGCUGUGGGGGACCUCGGAGUGCACCUGCUGAGGAGCCCCCAGCCCAGCGCUCUGCCCUGGUUUCCCAGGCCUGAGUACCUUCCUCCCUGGGCUGCGCAUCUCACCACACAUUCUUUCUUGUUUUACUCUGUUCACACUAUUUUUAUUCUGGAAUGUUUUAUAUUGAGAGGAAAGUGCAUAAAAUAUGUCUUUUUUAACAAGCAAAUUUAAAGCAAACACUUGCUUACCCAGAUCCCAUGUAGACUAUUACCAGCUACAGGAGUCCCCAGCAUGCCCUUCUCCCCCUGCAAAACCUAGCCAUGAUCUUGAUUUUUGAUCAUUUUCCUGAUUUACUUUAUAGUUUUGCUAUUGACAUGGACAGUCCUAAACCCAGAGUUUACUUUUUAUUUUAUUUAUUUAUUCAUUCAUUUUGUACUGGGGAUUGAACCCAGGGGUGCUUAACCACUGAGCCACAUCCCCAGCCCUGUUUUGUAUUUCAUUUAGAGACAGGGUCUCGUGGAGUUGCUCAGGUCCUCACUAGGUUGUUGAGGCUGGCUUUGAACUUGUGAUCCUCCUGCCUCAGCCUCCAGAGCCUCUGGGAUUAUAGACAUGAGCCACCGCACCUGGUUACUUUUGUCCAUUUUUUGAACUUUUGGUGCACAGGAUCGUAUCGUGUGUAAUUUGUGUGUCUGGCUCCUUUGCCCGAUGUCGUUUGUGAUUCUCACCGAGUUGGAGCGUAGAAUUGUGGUUCACUCAUUUCCUGUGCCAUAUGUUACUCUGUCGCACGACAGCAUUUAUUUAUCCAUUCUCCUGCUGGGGACACCCAGCCAUGCUGCUCUGAACUCUUUUGUUUCUUGGGGUAUGUGUGCACUCAGAUUUUAGGACAUAUAUUUAGGGUAGAAUUUUUGGAUCAGAGAAUAUGCAUUCCAUUGUUUUAAAUAAAUAACGCCAAAAUAUUUUCUAAAGAGAAGUGCCCUUGAAGGGACCCCAGUCUCCUCCUCUUUUUCUUCUUUUGCUUCCUGGUCAUGUGAUGCACCACCAUGGGCUCCUGCCAUGGUGUGCUGCCUCGCUACCGGCCCAAAGCAACAGGGUCAAUCUGUCAUGGGUUGGAACCUCCAAAACUCUGAGCCAAGAGAAACCUUUGCUCUUUGUAAGUUGGUUGUCUCAGGUGUUUGUUACUGUGACAGAGAGCUGACACGGCACCCUCUCAAUGCCUUUGCCCUGCCGCAGUCAACCCUGAUCUGCUUUCUGUCCCGACAGACUUGCCGUGCCUCUUCUACAGU